CUGGCUCAGGAUGAACGCUAGCUACAGGCUUAACACAUGCAAGUCGAGGGGCAGCAGGACGAUAGCUUGCUAUGUUGCUGGCGACCGGCGCACGGGUGAGUAACGCGUAUCCAACCUUCCCCUUAGUAGGGCAUAGCCCGGUGAAAAUCGGAUUAAUACCCUAUGUUGUGUCAUGAGGACAUCUGAAUAACACUAAAGAUUUAUCGCUAAGGGAUGGGGAUGCGUCCGAUUAGGUAGUCGGCGGGGUAACGGCCCACCGAGCCCUCGAUCGGUAGGGGUUCUGAGAGGAAGGUCCCCCACACUGGUACUGAGACACGGACCAGACUCCUACGGGAGGCAGCAGUGAGGAAUAUUGGUCAAUGGGCGCGAGCCUGAACCAGCCAAGUAAGCGUGCAGGAUGACGGCCCUAUGGGUUGUAAACUGCUUUUAUACGGGGAUAAAGCGAGGGACGUGUCCCUUAUUGUAGGUACCGUAUGAAUAAGGACCGGCUAAUUCCGUGCCAGCCGCCGC
rnacentral:rRNA from 1 species